rnacentral:lncRNA from 10 species
ACAUUCCACCCAGCCUGACUGCUCUGGAAGGAAGAAUCCCUGCAAGGUGAGUGUUAUUAUAUCCAUUUGUGGACCAGGACUGCGGCUCAGAAGCUUUUCCCAGGACACUGAACUCUGACAGGUGAAUAGCUGCCAAGUGGUGGAGGUUGGCCUGCAGUGAGCAUCAGUCUGACUUCGAAGGGUCUUGUUUUAUCACCUAGGCUGGAAUGCAGUGGAACCUGCUUAGCUCACUGUAGCCUUGAACUGCUGGGCUCAAGCAGUCCUCCUGUUUUGGCCUCUGAAGCAACUGGGACUACAGGACAGAAUGACACAUGGUACAAGCUUUCUGUCUUACUGCCACACGUCAGUGUCCUGGGAGAUGAACCAGAUGCAGAUGAUAAAAGUGCUGGCCAGGCGUGGUGGCUCAUGCCUGUAAUCCCAGCACUUUGGGAGGCCGAGGCGGGUGGAUUACCUGAGAUCAGGAGUUCAAGACCAGCCUGGCUAACAUGGCGAAACCCCGUCUCUGCUAAAAAUACAAAAAUUAGCUGGGUGUAGUGGCAUGCACCUGUAAUCCGAGCUAUCCAGGAGACUGAGACAGGAGAAUCGCUUGAACCUGGAGGCAGUAAGCCAAGAUCGCACCAUUGCAUUCCAGCCUAGGCGACAGAGCAAGACUCUGUCUCAAAAAAAAAAAAAAAAAAAAGUGCUCUGACGUUAUAUUAUGGUGUUGGUCGCACAACUUUGUGAAUAUAUGAGAAGUCAUGGAAUUGUAUACUUUCAAUGAAUAAAUUAUAAGGCAUACAAGUUAUAUCUCAAUAAAGCUGUUUGCUAAAUUUGGACGUCACUUUUUUUUUAAACAGCUUUGUUGAGGUAUAACUCUGGUGUUAUACGUUUAGUAUUUGUUUGUUCACCUCUAUCAUAAGCUAUAUAAGCUAUAUGUCUCUUAGGACUGGGAUCAUUUUUAUCAAUUGUUACACCUCCACUUCCUUGUAUAGUACUUUUUGCCCGAAUGUUAAUUUAAAAAUGUUUGUUGAAUGAUACAUUUUAGGCUAAAUGAAUACAGUUUGCAUCAGCAUUAGGGUAGACAUGUCACAUGUAGUCCACUAACCCUCCCCAAGUCUUUUAUGUGAGUUGUUGUUAAGCCAGGGCAAUUCUAUCCUGUACUUGGGCAGAAAUUUCUUGAAAAAAAUCAAAGUUAAGAGUUUACAUUUAUUUUAAAAUUUUUAUCAUGUUAGAACCCAUCAGUCAUUUUAGCCAGUUAAGUGUUUUUUUUUUUUUUUUUUUUUUUUGAGAUGGAGUCUUGCUGUUUUGCCCAGGCUGGAGUGCAGUAGUGCGAUCUUGGCUCACUGCAACAUCUGCCUCCCAGGUUCAAGUGGUUCUCCUGCCUUAGCCUCCCCAGUAGCUGGGGUGACAGGUAUGCACCAUGUUGCCCAAGUUUUUGCAUUAUUUAGUAGAGAUGGGGUUUCACCACAUUGCCCAGGCUGGUCUUGAACUCUUGACGUCAAGUGAUCUGCCCGCCUCGGCCUCCAAAGGUGCUGGGAUUACAGGCAUGAGCCACUGCGCCCAGCCAAGAUUUUCUUGGAUUUUUUUCUCUGUCAUUAAGUGUAGUCUCUAUUUCUACCUGCUUUGUACUACAAACCAAUUUAAAUAAGCAUGCUGUCUUUCUCCAUAAAAACAUUAAACUGUAGAACAAUGUUUUUAUGGAGAAAAAGAGCUAAAGUCACAUGCUGGUGGAGCAUAAAACGCUCACUUGAAGAACACCUUGGUAAUGGCUCCAGCUAACUGUACCAUGACCUAAUCCUGUGGCUGGAACCUCUGGGGAGUCUUAUCCACCUCCCCAAAUCCAUUUGACAAGCUCAGGUCCAAUACCACUUCUUUCAUGGGCUAUUCUCUGAUCUUCUCAGAAUGUCUAUCUUCUAUUGAAUUUGCCACAAUAUUUUGUUUGUACUACUCUUGAGACAUCCCACACAACCUUGAAUUAUAAUUGCUCACAUGGGUGUCUCAGCAUUUAUUCUAGACCAUAAGAUACUUAAAAGGAGGAAUUGUGAUUUCUUUGACAGUUUUGUCUCUUAGAAUUUAAGGGUGAGGGUGCUUAAUAAGUAUUAGAAAUAACGGAUAAGUAAAAUAUUCAGUGCUAUUAAAAAUACUAUUAAAUCUCAACACCUCCAGGGGUUACAUAUCUGAAAAAAGAUAUCAUACAUAUCUAUAUAAAUUCUAAAAUAAAUUGAAAUAGUCCAUAUCAAAAACCCUGCUGGAGUAGGUAACUCUUCACAAUCGACUUCAAUUAUUCAUGAUAUAAUUUUUGCAGGCACAUCAAAAAUUGUAUGUUUAGAGGUUAGAGGAUGAAUCCUCUUACAGUUUUCAAACCAGUCUGUACUAGCUUGAAAUGUAAUGUUUCUUGCACUUGAAUUUUCCCUGCUUUGUGUCUGCCAGUCUUGGCCCAAUGCUUGGGUACUUUUUUUAUGUUAUUGUGGUGCUUACAGGUGUUUUUCCAGCUGUGUUUUUCUAUCCUGAGGUUACAUCGGAGUAUGACAUGAUCAAACCUCUUCUUUGCACCAUGUCACAGAACCACCUUAAUGGAAGAGUGGACAAUAACUAUUGUGGUUUUCUCCUAUUUCAGGUGAUGGAAUGGAACCAUGUGUGUACAAAAAGAUACAGGAAUGUACAUAUUCAGUUUGCAAUAUAAAAACAUACACUGUGAUUGGAGAGGGAUUACAACAUUCUAAUUGCAAUUUUUGUCAUUUAUUCAAUAAAUAUUUCCUGGCUGGGUAUGAUGGCUCAAAGUGCCUGUAAUCCCAGCACUUUGGGAGGCCAAAGCAGGCAAAUCACCUGAGGUCAGGAGUUUGAGACCAGCCUGGCCACCAUGGUGAAACCCCAUCUCUACUAAAAAUACACAAAUUAGCUGGGUGUGGUGGUGCAUGCCUGUAAUCUCAGCUACCUGGGAGGCUGAGGCAGGAGAAUUGCUUGAACUCGGGAGGCGGAGGUUGCAGUGAGCUGAGAUUGCACCACUGCACCCCAGCCUGGGCAACAGAGUGAGACUCUGUCUCAAAACAAACAAACAAACAAACAAACAAAUUCCUGAGUGCCUACCAUAUGCUGAUUAAACUGUUCUAGAUGUUGGAGAUGCAGCUAUGGACAAGACAAAUACAGUCUCUUCUCUCCAGGAAUUUACCUUCUAAUGGAGGAGAGAGACAAAAACAACUUUGUACAUAAACCUUUUCUGAUAGUCAUUAAGAAAAUAAAGCAACAUGGUGUCCAAAUUCUAGAUUGCUCAUUUUAAAGGCUAGGGUGCCUAAAACCACAAGGAACAUUUCAGAAUUAGUAACAUUCAUACUUCGUAGAGCUAUACUUAGGCUAAUAAAUGUUUGGUAUUGUUGCCUCCCCAACAGCCACCUCAGACCACCUCCUGACUCCAAGUUUCCCUGCUCAUCAAUCCAAAAUUUUGUUGAAUAUACUACUUCCCCACCCCCAAUGGAGCUUAAGGGUUAACCUGAACUCUCUAAACCAAUCAGGGCAUUCCUACUGUCUUUGAUCGUGAGUGUUGUAGGCAGAGACAUAUAACCCAAUCCUUGCUAAUGAGACUUGAGGUAGGACCCCAGCUUCCGGAGAGGUUGCCUGGCUCCUAAAAAGAGAAAGAUACCGGAAAAGAGAUGGACUCUUCUACCACUGGAAAUCAGAUGGUGUCCUGAGUGACAUAAGUGUACUUACAACAGCCAUUUUGCAACCAUAAAGAAGCCAGUGGGAAUACACAGGCUACGUGUCCUCGAAGGCACAGAAGAAAGAAGAGAGAAAACUAUAUUCUUGAUGACACAGUUGAGCUACAGAAUUGUCCAACCCCGGAGGUGCCCCACUUCGCGUUGUGGGAGAUAAUGCAUUUUCCUUGCUGUUUAAACCACUUUGAGCUGAGUUUUCUAUUACCAGCAGCCUAAAGCAUUUUGACAGAUAAAAGUAGAUACAAAUGCACAUAUAUAAUGAGCAUCCUGACUGAACGAUUAAAUGUGUAUGUAGGCAUGCAUUACCUCCCCACUCCAUUUAUGAUUGUCACAUUUAUUUUUACUUCAGGGAAAAGCAACUAUAGAAUUUAAAAAAUCAGGAUUGAAAACAAAUACCUGAAUUUCCUACAAUUAAAAAAUCAAUCCAUUAAGUAGUGGUAUUAUGCUAAAAUAAAAUGAAUGCUUAGAAAUUUGUUAAGUGUUUAUGAUGUAAUAAGACAUCAAAUAAACCAUUUUUCUUUAAGUUCUUUAAUAAAAAAAAUCUGAUGUGGAGUCCAGUCUUUCAUUUUUAUCACUGGAAUAAAUAGAGAAUAGUCAUUGCAAUCAAUUGCCUGUUUGUUUCCCCAGAG